ensembl:lncRNA
GUUAGCGUCAUACCCAAGAAAACCCAAGGCUGUAAUCACUGCCAAAGGUGCUUCAACAAAGUACUCAUUAAAGGGUCUGAAUACUUAUGUAAAUGUGAUGUCAGAUUUUCUUUUUUUUUUGUAUAAAUUUGCAACAAUUUUGGAGAAAAAAAUCUGGGUUUUUGUCAUUAUGGGGUAUUGUGAUGUCAUUAUGGGGUAUUCUGAUGUCAUUAUGGGGUAUGUGUAGAUUGAUGAUGGGAAACAAUUGAAUCCAUUUUAGAAUAAGGCUGUAACAUAACAGAAUGUGGAAUAAAUCAAGGGGUUUGAAUACUUUCUGAAGGCACUUUGUCUGUUCUGAAGUGUAUACAAAUACAAUAUACAAGUGGUUAGGUAUUUUCAACACACAAAUAUUUCUUAAGACAAGACGUAGUCCAUUUCUCUUCAACCGUAAAAGACUAUCAACCAUGUUGUUGAUGUUAGUUAUAUGUGUGUGUAGUUAAAGGGCAAGGCGUGCUGUUUUGUUUUGAGACAGCUUUGCUAGGUCUUUCUUUUCUGCACCUGACCAUAUUACCAGACAGUCCUCAAGAUGGGACAAGACCAGAGUCUGGACAACUAGUACAGUUGAUCUUUGUGUCAGAACACAGAACAUAUUUUUUUAUAACAGACAAUACCCCUCCCCAUCUUCACAACAACCUAGUCAACAACCUAGUCUAACAGUUGACCAUGAUAACUUCACCUCAUCUAAACAACAACUUAGUCAAUAUGACCUGACCAUGUUAACUUAUCCUCAUCUAAACAACAACUUAGUCAAUAUGACCUGACCAUGAUAACUUCACCUCAUCUAAACAACAACUUAGUCAAUAUGACCUGACCAUGUUAACUUCUCCCCAUCUAAACAACAACUUAGUCAAUAUGACCUGACCAUGAUAUUCACACCCCAUCUUCACAUGCACAACCCCAGGUGAGGUUUAGGUCUAAGAGAAUGGUUGGAACCAAAUACAAUAUGACCUGACCAUGAUAUUCACACCCCAUCUUCACAUGCACAACCCUAGGUGAGGUUUAGGUCUCAGAGAUGGUUGGAACCAAAUACAAUUUGACCUGACCAUGAUAUUCACACCCCAUCUUCACAUGCACAACCCCAGGUGAGGUUUAGGUCUCAGAGAUGGUUGGAACCAAAUACAAUAUGCUUUUAGAUGUAUUUACACCCAGUUUAUUCUGUAAGUCCUUUUGCUAAGAGUCUCUGUGAGCUCCCAUGGCUGUAGAUACUGAUGUGUAGAGUCUGCAGUCAUCAGCAUACAUAGUAAUUUUAGCUUCUUGUAAGACAAAUGGCAAAUAAUUUGUAAAAAUAGAGAAGAGUAAGGUGUGUUGGUUUGAUGACAUGUUGAGGGUUUCACACUCUGUGGGGUUAUAUUUACUUUACCACCUACUGUUAGUGCUUUCAUCUUAAGAUGGCUGAGAGACCGUCACUUUAAAAACGGGCUCGUAUUGUCAAUUAAAAUGUUAUAAUGUAGAAUGUUUUGCCAAUGUUAUAGGUAGAGUUUUCAUGUUGGAAUUCAAUGUUAUAUGUAGAGUUUUCAUGUAAUUCAAUGUAAUUAAAAUUGAACGCAUAUGUGUUUGUAGUUAAUACAUGCCAAUGUAUUUAGGUUUUUAAUGAGAAUAAAUACGAAGCUCCAAUGAACCUUGGCAUUAUUUUUUCCAACUUAUUCC